UAUUAUGUUACAUAUAUAUAUAUAUAUUGUAUUUUAUAUAAAAAAUAUUGAUUGAUUGACUGGUAAUAUUAUCCAUUAACUUUUUCCCUGUCAAUUGUUACCAACUAUCUGCUACAUGACUGAACGAUAACAAUAAACAAUUAAAGAAACCAGCCGUAACGCGCGAGUAUCGAACGCAAGUGAACUUUACGAUGGAAAUAUUCAAAUCUUGAUAUCAGCUAUCGUCGAUAAUUAUGACAAGUUCUGAGAAGAAAAAAACGUAAGCGAACAUAAAUUUUGCAUACGCAAACGGUUACAUAAAUGUUGUAAGAGUUCAACUAACAGUUUAUUCGUAAGCUUCGAGAUCAGUAAUAUUUCAUUGCGAAGCAAACGAAGCAAAAAGACGGAGAAUGUCAUCAACGAAAAUAACAUUCCAAGAACUAUUACUGCUGCUAUUGACGAUAAUCCAACGUGGAUGGAAAAAGAAAUAUCGCAUAAUUCAGCAAGCGCUAGUGUCUUCGGGGUCUACGCUGUACAGUUGAUGCACACCCUACAUGCUGACCAACUACUGUAACUAUUUGACGAACAUCCACAGAUGAUGCAGCAAUUCUAGCCACCGACGAAUAUCCUAAAGUUGCGUCGACAUCAUUGCAGCAACACAGGCUAAGUCAGUGGAGAAUGGAAAUAAAUACUGACAAAUGGACAUGUCACGUUUGCCUUGAAUUUACCAUAACCACGUCGCACUUAAUAGGUGCAUUAUAUCCCAAAAUCAACUGGUUGACCAUUUUGGGUUACGUCUUGACCGCAAGGUAACAUGGAACCAGCAAACGACAAAGAGACCCAGCAAAUUCGACUCUCAGGAGGAAAGCAACGUUCUGGUUGACCGGUGGACGUUCUAAGUUCAGCAUAGAAGCAUAGUCACUUGUACAUAAGCGCAUUAUGAAACCAAUCCUGGCAGCCAAUUGUGGGGCAUGGAAGCGAAAAGCCUACACAGCAAAGUGUGCGGUUCUUCAGCCAGGACCAAGCCAAGAGAAAUCCUCAGGACGAUAGAAAACGCAACACAAUUGCUACGUUGGAAACGACGGAAUUCGUGAAAAUCUGUGGACAAACUGCGUUACAGUUUGCAGGUGACGUGGCUGUGCAGCCAGUGCAGUUCAAGACUAAUGGACCAUCCCAUCUUGGUAGCCAGGGACCUACGCUCACUCGAUCAGCCUCCCAAAGUCCGAAGAGGACAUGUUGGUUACAUCGACAACAAGUUAUCGGUGAGAAACACUUACGCAUUGACGCCAAUGAAAUAUAAUUUCGUACGGACCCCGUCCAAAAGGAUAGUUGUUCACUUACCGAAUGUCUGUGUCGUGAAUGUGUUUUGAACAGACUGUGAAGACUCUAGGAUACUAGAAAACGAAAAAGGAGAAGAUUCAACAAGCCACUCUAAUCGUGUCUACGUUACUUGAUUCAAAUGGAAAAAAUGGCAAAUGUGGUAGAUACAAGCCAUUUUGAUCAGUGACCCAAAAACAAACGACGAUCGAGAGACCUCGUGAUAUUGCUUCUGACGUUGGUUUGGAAAAAGUCGAAGAUGCAAAACACGCGUCAAAGGAAAGAACGAGAUGCAAAAGACGAAAUGACGCUGACCCUUCGAUGGUCAUCUGCAAGACUCGCUCCUUAUUAUUCCGUGCAAGCUAGCGAUGUGUUGAUGCGAGAUGAAGUUGACGUGGAAUUACCAAGGGAACGACGAGAGCUGGCGAACAAAUGCAAGAGAAAUCCUCAUGGACACUCUGUUGCUGCGAGAACAGCAGAGUAAUGUCCGACAAAAAAGUUAUGAGUCGAGUUAUAUUGACCAGGCUGUGACUGCAGUUCCACUUCUGGGCGCCAUUCCACUACCGCCCGCCAUGGAGACAACCUAACCUCAACCUAACUCCAACCUAACCUCAACGAUCGUCAUCUUUUGACUAUUCUCAAGCAGAUGAACACACUGUCGUUCGAUUAGUCUCAUUAAUUAGAUGUAACAUUUGGGGAAAGAUGGGACAUUUCGGUGGACGCUAACUUUUAGAUAAAAUGAACGUACGGAUGGAGGACAGAGCGACAAUGUUGGACCGGAGAAUGAACGCGGAUGACUGUUGAAGUAACUGCACGGAAGCAAUGGGCUGUCGUAAAGCAGUUGCAGCUUUUAAUGUCUUGAAAACUGCAUUGGACAGGAAGGUGGGUUUCUGUCGAGAAAGUCCUCGACAGUUGUUGAGAACUAGUUUAGAACCUUUCCAAAGUGUAUUUUCACUGGAGGAGGAGGAAGCAUUAGUAUUUGAGUGAGAUGGAAGACCUAUUAUUUGGUUAACAACAAUUAACAGCAAUUUAUGCGCCCCAUUGUGCAUCUUUUUUACACUUUUCAUGUCAAGUUUUGAAAGUUUAUUUUAAGAUAAUUCAAUUGGCGCUAGACACAACAUUUUUUGUGAAUGCAACACCAGUGGUGCAUAUAGUAUUUUAGAGCAAUUCUUUCUGUAGCGUUCUCAUCUUGUCUUUCCUCUGAAUUUCCUGGAUCAAAACAUAAAACUUCUGCAAAUGUUCACUCUUUUCAAACACUAGGACAAUUUUAUGACAGCAAGUUAUUUCAUAUAGAGUCACAAAAAACUAGUUUAAGAGUACACUUACAAUUUUGAAGUCUGUGACAAUGUUGAAAAUUGUUUAAACAAUUAGGAAAAUGCAGAGAGUAACAAUAAUAAUUAGAAAAUUAGAAAACGUAGAGAAUAAGAAUAAUUCUUUUUAAUAACACUCGUUCUCCUCGUAAAUCGAUGUCCGAAGUUCAAAGUCAUACAGCUAAAUCAUAAAUUAUUAUUCAUAAAUUGCGGUUAACACAUGAAGAUUUAUUCCUCUUGCCAUUGCCAACAUUUCAAGAGUAAUUUCUUUUAAAAAGUGUAAAAUUCGUGAUUCUUCUUAAUAAGACUUGAAAAUUGCUUACAAGUUUUCCGAGAGCAAGGACGAGUGACAAUGAGAACACGUGAGACAUAUCUACACGAUGUGUUGCUGUUUAUAAAUUAUAAAUAAGCAUUGUUGAAAGUCAAUAGAAUAAUAAUCCGUUUGAUCUGUUCUCCGCUGAAAAGAAUACAAAUGUAAAUACUGUUACGUAAGAAUGUAAUAAGAAACAUUGCAAUUUGACUUUUCAUCAAUAGGGUUUUAUCAAAAAUUAAAUCUUAGAUAUCCUCGUUUCGUGUUCGAUGAGUCAUUAAUAACACAAUAAUAGCCUUCUACGAGCUUCCGUCUAUCGCAGUCUUAUCUAGGUGUCCUCAGAGAUUUUUCUCAUUUUAAAUUCUCAUUUAAGUUUACUUAAGCAGAACUUUUAAUUUUAGCAUUAUUUGUGUAAAGCAAUACGUAUAUUGAUUUCACUUGUUCUUCUUUGGUUAUUAAUAGUACUCCGGCAUAUUCCGUUAUAAUGUGCAAUCUGCACGUUCAGCGCUGUGGAAAUUUGUAUAACAUGUACUCUCUGCUUUCGAGUUCGCAAUUACCGCAUAUCGUACAUUUCGCUGUUUCUCUAAUCCUAUGAAACAUGUUGUAUUUACCGACAUUUACCGGUUAAGCUAAUUUCUUCCUAUCCAAUUAGUCCAAGCUGCUCUAUAUUAUUUAUACGUGUUGGUAACUGUAACUGGAUAUAAUCUUCACGUUUGCGUGUCUGCAGCUACUUCGAUUCUCUCGUACAUCGGAUCGAAUUUCAAGAUUCUGUGUUUGUCUCUGCUAUAAGCUUCUCUCUUAUCUCCUUUGGGAUGUUUGGUGUGAUUUGGUGGGAGGGGUUACUAACUUCAAACAAUUCUCUAAAUCGUAGCAAGCGAACGUCUUUCGAAACAUUAUCGUAAAAAAUUGCAUUAUGUAAUCGAGAACUUUGCAUAAUAUAUACUCUGUUGAUAAGUAAUCGAGCAGCUUUUCUUUACCUGUAUCGUUUGAAACGUUUCAAUAUUUCCCAGUGUUAAUAAUUUUCUAUAAAUUUAAGCUUGAGAGCAACAAAAAGUAUGUACUGUCUGAGCUUUUUAGACUGUUGAAUUUUGAGUAAAAUUGUGACAUAAAUUGCUGGCAUUUAUUUCGGACAUGAAACUCGAUACUAUGUUUUAAACACGAUAGCGGCAAGCUUUAUGAAGGCCCUGGAAGUGUUAUAAAAUAUACUUGGACGUUUUACCUUCUUAUUA